GGUCCUGUAGUGUAGAGGUUAUCACGUUCGGCUUUGAUCCGGACAACGCAGGUUCGAACCCUGCCAGGACCU